rnacentral:rRNA from 1 species
UACGAAGGGGGCUAGCGUUGCUCGGAAUCACUGGGCGUAAAGGGUGCGUAGGCGGGUCUUUAAGUCCGGGGUGAAAGGUCCAGCGCUCAACGCGGACAGUGCCCUGGAGACUGGGGGGCUUGAGUGUGGCAGGGGGGACCGGAAUUCCUGGUGUAGCGGUGAAAUGCGUAGAUAUCAGGAGGAACACCGGUGGCGAAGGCGGGUCCCUGGGCUAACACUGACGCUGAGGCGCGAAAGCGCGGGGAGCGAACGGG